rnacentral:misc_RNA from 1 species
GAUGAAGAACGUAGCGAAAUGCGAUAAGUAAUGUGAAUUGCAGAAUUCAGUGAAUCAUCGAAUCUUUGAACGCACAUUGCACUCAUUAGUAUUCUAGUGAGUAUGCCUGUUCGAGCGUCAUUUCAACCCUUAAGCCUAGCUUAGUGUUGGGACUCUACCCUAACCGGUAGUUCCCCAAAAUCAGUUGGCGGAGUUCAGUCGGCUCUGAGUGUAGUAAUUUUCUCUCGCUUUAGAAGUCUUCUGGAUUACGGCCAGAAAGAGACGAGUCUCGCAUCUCGGUGCAUUACUCAACUUUUUUUUACAAUGGUUGACCUCGGAUCAGGUAGGAAUACCCGCUGAACUUAAGCAUAUCAAUAAGCGGAGGA